CACGUUAAAUUCUUAAAUAGGUCGCGCCUGCGCCUAAUUGAGUCUAUAAAAGCCUGCACAUUCAGUUUUGCUAGCUACAAUGCAGUGCGGCUGGCGUGAGCUGUCUCCACGAUGCGCUUCGAGCCUGUCGAUUUCGCCGUUCUUUAUGCUGGCGUUAACGAACUUGAAAGCAACAUGGAUCCACAAGAAAUGUGCGACAACAUCAAGGUAAGUCUACUGAAAUCACAAAAUUUGAAACAAUAAGCGCUAAUAGUUGUUUUCUUUUAAAUUUUAGGCCUUGAUUGUUCAACGAGACGGCCCCCGUCGUGCUGGUUUUCGAGGUGCUCCCUCGCUGCCUAGAAGAUGCUGAUGCGGAAUAGAAAAUGCAAAAACGUCGCUUGCUCAACCGCAAAUUGACGGCUACGCUGAAGCGCAUGCCGUGUCUGCGGAAUUUGAACCCCUAGCUUUCCAGAGUUCCUUGGAAAAUCCUCCCAUGCACCUGCCAUGUACAUUGCCCUCCUCCUCGAUGUGGCGUGCAAGAUGGCAGCAGCAGCUGUGGGAACAGUUGAAGAGGCGAAGAAAGGUCCACUUUAUAAUAGGUUGUAUGUAAAUAAAACUGAUCGACCUCAA